rnacentral:rRNA from 1 species
GAUGAACGCUAGCUACAGGCUUAACACAUGCAAGUCGAGGGGAAACGGCAUCGAAAGCUUGCUUUUGAUGGGCGUCGACCGGCGCACGGGUGAGUAACGCGUAUCCAACCUGCCCAUCACUUGGGAAUAACCUUGCGAAAGUAAGACUAAUGCCCAAUGACAUCCCACGAAGGCAUCCGAAUGGGAAUAAAGAUUUAUCGGUGAUGGAUGGGGAUGCGUCUGAUUAGCUUGUUGGCGGGGUGACGGCCCAACAAGGCAACGAUCAGUAGGGGUUCUGCGAGCAAGGUCCCCUAAGUUGGAACUGAGACACCAUCCAAAAGACUACGGGAGGCAGAAGUGAGGAAUAUUGGUCAAUGGGCGAGAGCCUGAACCAGCCAAGUAGCGUGCAGGAUGACGGCCCUAUGGGUUGUAAACUGCUUUUAUAAGGGAAUAAAGUGGGUCACGUGUGACUUUUUGCAUGUACCUUAUGAAUAAGGACCGGCUAAUUCCGUG